rnacentral:rRNA from 1 species
AUUGAACGCUGGCGGCAGGCCUAACACAUGCAAGUCGGGCGAGAGGCGGACGGGUGAGUAAUGUAUGGGGAUCUGCCUGAUGGAGGGGGAUAACUACUGGAAACGGUAGCUAAUACCGCAUACCAUCAGAUGAACCCAUAUGGGAUUAGCUUGUAGGUAAGGUAACGGCUUACCUAGGCGACGAUCCCUAGCUGGUCUGAGAGGAUGAUCAGGCAAACUGUGACUAAGACAGGGCCCGGACUCCUACGGGAGGCAGCAGUGGGGAAUAUUGCACAAGGGACGAAAGCCUGAUGCAGCCAUGCCGCGUGUAUGAAGAAGGCCUUCGGGUUGUAAAGUACUUUCAGUCGGGAGGCGUUACCGACAGAAGAAGCACCGGCUAACGCCGUGCCAGCAGGCGCGGUAAUUC